CCUACGGGAGGCAGCAGUGGGGAAUUUUCCGCAAUGGGCGAAAGCCUGACGGAGCAACGCCGCGUGAGGGAUGAAGGCCUCUGGGCUGUAAACCUCUUUUAUCAAGGAAGAAGAUCUGACGGUACUUGAUGAAUAAGCCACGGCUAAUUCCGUGCCAGCAGCCGCGGUAAUACGGGAGUGGCAAGCGUUAUCCGGAAUUAUUGGGCGUAGAGCGUCCGCAGGCGGUCUUGUAAGUCUGUCGUUAAAGCGUGGAGCUCAACUCCAUUUCGGCGGUGGAAACUACAAGACUAGAGUGUGGUAGGGGCAGAGGGAAUUCCCGGUGUAGCGGUGAAAUGCGUAGAUAUCGGGAAGAACACCAGUGGCGAAGGCGCUCUGCUGGGCCAUAACUGACGCUCAUGGACGAAAGCUAGGGGAGCGAAAGGGAUUAGAUACCCCUGUAGCCCUAGCCGUAAACGAUGAACACUAGGUGUCGGGGGAAUCGACCCCCUCGGUGUCGUAGCUAACGCGUUAAGUGUUCCGCCUGGGGAGUACGCACGCAAGUGUGAAACUCAAAUGAAUUGACGGCNGAGAGUGCGAGACGACGACGAGGAGAG
rnacentral:rRNA from 1 species